UACGUAUGGAGCAAGCGUUAUCCGGAUUUACUGGGUGUAAAGGGUGCGUAGGUGGCAGUGCAAGUCAGAUGUGAAAGGCCGGGGCUCAACCCCGGAGCUGCAUUUGAAACUGCUCGGCUAGAGUACAGGAGGGGCAGGCGGAAUUCCUAGUGUAGCGGUGAAAUGCGUAGAUAUUAGGAGGAACACCAGUGGCGAAGGCGGCCUGCUGGACUGUUACUGACACUGAGGCACGAAAGCGUGGGGAGCAAACAGG
rnacentral:rRNA from 1 species